rnacentral:rRNA from 1 species
GACGAACGCUGGCGGCGUGCUUAACACAUGCAAGUCGAACGGAAAGGCCCUGCUUUUGUGGGGUGCUCGAGUGGCGAACGGGUGAGUAACACGUGAGUAACCUGCCCUUGACUUUGGGAUACUUCAGGAAACUGGGGCUAAUACCGGAUAGGAGCUCCUGCUGCAUGGUGGGGGUUGGAAAGUUUCGGCGGUUGGGGAUGGACUCGCGGCUUAUCAGCUUGUUGGUGGGGUAGUGGCUUACCAAGGCUUUGACGGGUAGCCGGCCUGAGAGGGUGACCGGCCACAUUGGGACUGAGAUACGGCCCAGACUCCUACGGGAGGCAGCAGUGGGCAAUAUUGCACAAUGGGCGGAAGCCUGAUGCAGCAACGCCGCGUGCGGGAUGACGGCCUUCGGGUUGUAAACCGCUUUCGCCUGUGACGAAGCGUGAGUGACGGUAAUGGGUAAAGAAGCACCGGCUAACUACGUG